rnacentral:rRNA from 1 species
UACGUAGGGUGCAAGCGUUGUCCGGAAUCAUUGGGCGUAAAGGGCGCGUAGGCGGCUUUUUAAGUCGGGGGUGAAAGCCUGUGGCUCAACCACAGAAUUGCCUUCGAUACUGCAAAUCUCGAGUCCGGAAGAGGUGGGUGGAGUUCCUAGUGUAGAGGUGAAAUUCGUAGAUAUUAGGAAGAACACCGGUGGCGAAGGCGGCCCACUGGUCCGGUACUGACGCUGAGGUGCGAAAGCGUGGGGAGCAAACAGG